rnacentral:rRNA from 1 species
UACGAAGGGGGCUAGCGUUGUUCGGAAUACUGGGCGUAAAGGGCGCGUAGGCGGUACUUCAAGUCAGGCGUGAAAGCCCCGGGCUCAACCUGGGAACCGCGCUUGAGACUGGAGAACUAGGAGGUCGGAGAGGACGGUGGAAUUCCCAGUGUAGAGGUGAAAUUCGUAGAUAUUGGGAAGAACACCGAUGGCGAAGGCGCCAUCUGG